CUACUUGGUAAUCUGUUCCUGGCUUUUUUUUUUUUUUUGGCUUCCUUCAUUCUCUUGGCCAGAAGUUUAGCCUAUUCUGUAGCCUCUUCCUUAUUUUCUUAGUAUGCUGUUUCCUCAAAGCAACAUAUUGUUGUUUGUUGUUGGAGGACAUGGGACAUGACAAGAUGCCGAGUCUUGGCUGCUUUGGUUCUAGGUUACUCACCUUUUUUAUUUAGGAGCUUUCUCACAACAUACUAGUAGGCAUCAUCUUCUUUAGAGAGACUGAAGAGUUUGUGGAUUCUCCUAGCUCUUUUGGACUCCCCGUGAGAAGGCGUAGUAGUAUCAGUAAGCCCAGGAAGGUCCUUCUCCCCUUUUUCACAAUGACCAAGUUGAGAGCACUGAGACUGGCAUCCACAAGGCAACCCUGAACAGCUCUGCACUUUCUUUCUCCGGUCCUCCCUGGUCUGUAGCAGGAACACCCCUCACUCAGCAGCAGGUGGACACGACUGUGGGUCAGGACCUCCUGCUUCAUGGGGAAUCCUUGUCUGUCAUCAGCACCACUGAUUUGGACCACGUAACCCUUCUAUUCUUCACUCAGAGGAGCAUCAGCAGCGUCUGUGGCCAUACACUUCUCAUAAAAGAUACAACUCUAAUGUCUCCUUAUAAUAGCAGCGAUGAGGUGGGGCAUGGCCAUUCUGUGGACCAGGAAGAGCCAUCAUCACUACAUCUGCCACUAUCCACAUCCUUCACCUUGAAGGAUGCCUCAUCUUGAAAGAUUCACUGUAGCAUCUUUGGAUCCAGCAACAGAAUCUGUGACCUUCUUCACCCCAAGUGCCUCAAGUAAAUUUACUUCUGCUAGAAGCUUAGAUCCUGCCAUUCUUCUUAACUGUGCAGCUCACAUAUGCAAGCACAUGAGCAGAUGGCCCAUAUACCUACACAGGUUUCGGCCCAUCACCUCUUUCUUUCUCUUCUCUAAGUAUGGACUACCCAGUGCUUCAUCCAAGGUACUGGCUUUUCAUUUUCUACUUUUCCUUUUUAAAUCGUGUGUGUUUAUUCUUC
rnacentral:lncRNA from 1 species